rnacentral:rRNA from 1 species
CCUACGGGCGGCAGCAGUGGGGAAUAUUGGACAAUGGGGGCAACCCUGAUCCAGCCAUGCCGCGUGUGUGAAGAAGGCCCUCGGGUUGUAAAGCACUUUCAGUGAGGAAGAACGCCUGGUGGUUAAUACCCAUCAGGAAAGACAUCACUCACAGAAGAAGCACCGGCUAACUCCGUGCCAGCAGCCGCGGUAAUACGGAGGGUGCGAGCGUUAAUCGGAAUUACUGGGCGUAAAGCGCGCGUAGGUGGCUUGAUAAGCCGGUUGUGAAAGCCCCGGGCUCAACCUGGGAACGGCAUCCGGAACUGUCAAGCUAGAGUGCAGGAGAGGAAGGUAGAAUUCCCGGUGUAGCGGUGAAAUGCGUAGAGAUCGGGAGGAAUAACAGUGGCGAAGGCGGCCUUCUGGACUGACACUGACACUGAGGUGCGAAAGCGUGGGUAGCAAACAGGAUUAGAUACCCGAGUAGUC